AUUGAACGCUGGCGGCAUGCCUUACACAUGCAAGUCGAACGGCAGCACGGGAGCAAUCCUGGUGGCGAGUGGCGAACGGGUGAGUAAUAUAUCGGAACGUGCCCAGUCGUGGGGAUAACGUAGCGAAAGCUACGCUAAUACCGCAUACGAUCUAUGGAUGAAAGCGGGGGAUCGCAAGACCUCGCGCGAUUGGAGCGGCCGAUAUCAGAUUAGGUAGUUGGUGAGGUAAAGGCUCACCAAGCCGACGAUCUGUAGCUGGUCUGAGAGGAUGAUCAGCCACACUGGGACUGAGACACGGCCCAGACUCCUACGGGAGGCAGCAGUGGGGAAUAUUGGACAAUGGGCGAAAGCCUGAUCCAGCCAUGCCGCGUGCAGGAUGACGGUCCUAUGGAUUGUAACUGUCUUUGUACUAGGAAGAAACACUCCCUCGU
rnacentral:rRNA from 1 species